UAAUUGUAAUUAAACGUUUUAGUAAUCAUUACUUAUUCUUUCGUCUUUGGUAAAAAUGUUGUCCCAUUACUAAAUCAAAUUAGUUAACUGUACGUUUCUACACAAAUAUAGAGUGUAAUGAACUUGUUAAGCAGAGAUUACUAAAGAUAUUAUGUUUUUGAAGUGAAGGGGCGGGGCAUAUUCAAACUGCUGCAACAUGCACCGUGGCAAGUUCAACGGCUCCUGACUGGUCCGUGUGAAGAUGCAGUGGAAGUGCAAAUACUGAUUCUUUGAGAGCUUUGGAGUGGACAAGUUCUGCAGGUUCUGCAUGGCAACGAUGAGUGAGAUCCAAGACAAGGAGGUAAGCUCAGGCUCUUUUGAACCCCGAACUGCAGACAUUCACAACAAACAGGUACAGGAGGUACAGCAGGAUCCCACUUUGGCAAAACAGUAUGGUGUAAAGGGACGAUGUGUACUAACUGACAGUCUGGAGCACUUUCAUGUUGUUCAUGGCUAUCCCCCUGACAUCCUACACGACUUUUUUGAAGGGGUUGUUCCUGUUGAGUUAUCACUCUGCAUUUCAGAACUGAUUUCUAAGAAAUAUUUCACAUUAGAAACACUGAACCAUGCUAUCACAUCUUUUGCAUAUGCUUUUCAUGACAAAACUGACCAGCCUCAGCCUAUUGCCCAAGGCUUCUCUACCAAAGGGACCAUAGGUGGAAAUGGCCAUGAGAACUGGGCUCUAAUCAGGUUGCUCCCACUUCUCAUUGGCCAUAAAGUGCCUGAAGGGGGACGAUGCCUGGAACGUUCUGAUGCUCCUUAAAGAUAUUGUUGAAUUGGCUGUAGCAACAAGGCACACUGAAGAGUCUAUACAUUUCUUUGAAUGCAAAGUGUCAGAACACAGAGAACUGUUGCAAACUACAUUCCCAAAUUUCAAAUUGCGUCCAAAACACCACUUCAUUGAGCAUUAUCCUGAGAUGAUUAAGGCAUUUGGCCCACUGUCAGAUGUCUGGACAAUGCGUUUCGAGGGAAAACAUAAAUUCUUCAAGCGGGUCAUUCGUAAUGCACACAACUUCAGACAUGUGGCACUUACACUGGCUGUAAAGCAUCAGAAAAUGAUGGCUUACUGUUUGGACACAAGUUCGUUUUUCAAGCCCUCAGUUGAGCUGGACAAGGUUACCACAGCACUGAUCACAUCUUUCCCCGAGAAUGUCCAACAAGUUUUCUGCAAUAGAGUACCCCAACUUACAAAGGUUAUGGUUGCAUCAUCAGUCUCUGUAGAUGGAAUUAGAUAUUAUGCUGAUAUGAUACUCUGUUGGUUCAUGUUCAGGCCUCCCCAAAUUUCAAACAGAUCAAGCAGAUUGUGGCAAUAAACACAGAGAUCUUGUUUGUCUGCAAUACAAUGAUGGCAUGGUACCAUGAACAUGUCAGAUCAUUUGAACUCUGUGGCAGCACAAAUCCCUCUUUAUGUGUGGUGGAACUAAAAGAGCUGAAUGAUGUUUUCCCUCUGUCAGCAUACAGAUUUGGAGAAAAUUCAGUAGUGACACUCACUCGUUAUAUUCUGUGUUGAGAAACCACAAGUGUUGUCAGUCCUAGCAUUGCUCUAGAUAGAGUCUAAAUGUAAG